CCUCCGGUACACGGUCGCAGCUCCUCGUGUAGGCGCUACUAAAACCCGACCGUUACAGUAAGAUCACCGACCGUCGCCGCCUCGGGUCCGCCCGGCGACGUUUCUCCUUGAGGUGACCUUCUUUAGCUCCACAGUACCCGCCCAUUGCGGCAAGGGCACGGACCGUGGUGGUCUCUGCCCCGUCGGGCGACGCUUCUCAUCGAGGUGGUCCAACAGAGUGCUGCUUCCGGUACGUGACCGAGCUGCUCCACACUACGCGCCCGCACGGUAGGGGCACGGUCCGCGUCCGCUUCGACUCCGCCCGACGACGCCUCUCUCGAGGUGGUCCCACAACUCGCUGCCUCCGCUCGACCGUACCACCUCUGCCCCCGAGAGGUGGCUACGAAGGUGGAGCGAUGGCAACAGCAGAACGAAGGACCUAGAGGACGUUCGAGUGGUAAUAUCGGGUUCUUCGUUGCCACCACGGCCUCAACUCAGGUCAGUCAUUGUGAUCGCGAUCAAGGAAGGUACUAGGACAUCCGGCUCUCGACCCAGAGACCACUUCGACCUUAACUUCUUCGAAAGUGGACUUAAUCGGAUUUACACAGACAAGCAGUACAAACAAGAUUUGGUUGGAGACAAUAUCAGGUCCAUCUAUGUUAGAAACAAGUCAACAUCGGUUUCUUCUUCUCUACCAAUCAUUAAUUCUCAUCAUUAGUCAUGAAACAUCUUGAAACAUCAGGUACAUCUAUGUUAGAAAUAAGUCAACAUCGGUUUCUUCUUCUCUAGAAACAAGUCAACAUCAGCUUCUUCUUCUCCAUUUUGGGAUGUAGGACG
rnacentral:rRNA from 1 species